rfam:Schistosoma mattheei strain Denwood, Zambia genome assembly, scaffold: SMTD_scaffold0000810
GCACUGCUGAGGAGUCCCACAAUAGGUCGAAACGGCAGUCCAGUAC